AAUACUUCUGCUUUUAUACUGCAACAAACAAUACUUGUGCUUUCCCUCCAUCUAGCACUGUGCCUCCAGGAGAGAGGGUUUUUUUCUGGUCGCCCCUGCAGACAUGACCCUGCUUGUCCCUGGCCAAUCCCAGGGCCAGACUGGAUUGUUGGCCCUCUGACUCACCCUAGAAGGCCUGGGGCUGGAGAGGCCUGGAACUCCUCGGAGAAGCCAAAGAUUUUGCAGAAUCAAGGAUGGAUGGAGUAUCAAAAUAAGGAACGGAAAAAACUGAAGAUAUACUAAGGAUUAAGGCCCAGGUUCAUCUAGUGUCCCCAGGUGCCAGGCAUUGUGCUGUGACUGUGAUGUGAAAAAAGAGGCCAGGACAACUGGGUCUCAUUCAGUCAGACUGGAGUGCAGUGGUGUGAUCACAGCUCAUGCAGCCUUGACCUUCCAGACUCAAACAAUCCUUUCAUGUAGCUGGGACCACAGGUGCAUGCCACCAUGAUCAGUUUAUUUUUAAAUUUUUUGUAGUGAGCCAUUGAGCCCAGCAUAAUCCUUCUAAUUUAGUUCCUUAUCUGAAAAGCGAGGACAUUGUGACAAUGAUCUCAGAACACUGUUGUGAAAAUUAAAUUCUCAAUAUAAUGUCUGGUGCCCAAAAAGCAUUAAAUUGAAGUUGGCUUAAACUAUAA